rnacentral:rRNA from 1 species
UACGUAGGGUGCAAGCGUUAAUCGGAAUUACUGGGCGUAAAGCGUGCGCAGGCGGUUAUGUAAGACAGGUGUGAAAUCCCCGGGCUUAACCUGGGAACUGCAUUUGUGACUGCAUAGCUAGAGUACGGUAGAGGGGGAUGGAAUUCCGCGUGUAGCAGUGAAAUGCGUAGAUAUGCGGAGGAACACCGAUGGCGAAGGCAAUCCCCUGGACCUGUACUGACGCUCAUGCACGAAAGCUAGGGGAGCGAAAGGG